UAAGAUAAACUUUAUAUCGCGGGCUACUC
rnacentral:sRNA from 1 species